UAAAAGUUUCGUCAUUCAGGGUAAUGUUUUGUCAUUCGGUGUAAUGCAAAUUGUAUGUUACACCACAGUGUCAUCCAUUACACUGAAUGACAGUGUCACUGUUUAGAUAACAUUUUUAGCAUUGUAUUUAUAUUUCAGAUAAAUGAGGGAUGUUUAGCACAAAAAAUAUAUCAAACUUUAUCAAUAUUAUUGUUUUAAUGCAUUUUUGUCGUUUUGGUACUGAUUUCUUUUAGAUGCCCACAAACAAAAAGAAAGUUUCUAGGCACUGGCAGAAAGUUAAUGCAGACCCAGUAGCUAGGGCAAUGCAUUUAGCAAGGAGACGAGAAAGCAACCAGAGAAGAAAGCAAGCUGCCUUGGCUGCAAAUCCAGAUCACCCGUCAAUCAGGAAUUUAUCAGAUGCUGCAGCUGAGAAGAGGCGAAAGCAAUGGCGAGAAAAUCAAAGAAAACACAGGGCAGAAGCUAAACGUAUAAGGGCAGUUCUGGAUCUUAUUAUACAGUAUUACCUGUUCAGUUAAUUUUUACGAAUAUGAUAUGUAUUGUGGAAUAAAAUGAUUAUUCAUUUCAGCAUCUACUUCUGUGAUUUGUUUAGGAAUUAAAUGAUACAGAAUAAUAUUCAAAACAUUGCAAUAAUGGAAACACUAUUUUUGUCAAAAAAAAAUUGUCACUAUUUUUGUGAAAAAUGUCAUUCAGUGUAACAAACCAUGGUCAUUCGGUGUAACAGAUAUAUUUAUGUAGAAAUGAAACAAUAUACUUAUUCUGAGCUGUACUUAUUAAAAUAUUUAAAAUAAUGUGUGAUCCUACAAAAAUUUUAUUUGAUUUGAAUUGAUUUUCACUUCCUUACAAAAACUUCUUGCUGACAAAUGGGUAAAACCUAAUGGUUUAAAGGAUAUUGGCGAAGUAAAAUGCUUUAAAAUGACAAAUAGUUAGUAUUUUGUGUCUGCACUGUGAUCUAUAAAUAGAGUCUUGUAAUGUGUCAUCAAAUAAUAGUUUUUCUAAAAAUGUCUGAUAAUAUUUUU